GACGAACGCUGGCGGCGUGCUUAACACAUGCAAGUCGAACGGAAAGGCCCUGCUUUUGUGGGGUGCUCGAGUGGCGAACGGGUGAGUAACACGUGAGUAACCUGCCCUUGACUUUGGGAUAACUUCAGGAAACUGGGGCUAAUACCGGAUAGGAGCUCCUGCUGCAUGGUGGGGGUUGGAAAGUUUCGGCGGUUGGGGAUGGACUCGCGGCUUAUCAGCUUGUUGGUGGGGUAGUGGCUUACCAAGGCUUUGACGGGUAGCCGGCCUGAGAGGGUGACCGGCCACAUUGGGACGGGGAUACGGCCCAGACUCCUACGGGAGGCAGCAGUGGGGAAUAUUGCACAAUGGGCGGAAGCCUGAUGCAGCAACGCCGCGUGCGGGAUGACGGCCUUCGGGUUGUAAACCGCUUUCGCCUGUGACGAAGCGUGAGUGACGGUAAUGGGGAAAGAAGCACCGGCUAACUACGU
rnacentral:rRNA from 1 species